rnacentral:snRNA from 9 species
AUACUUACCAAGCGUAGCGAUACUGUGAUCAUGCAGGCGGUUCCCCAGGGUGAGGCUGCUUCAUUGCACUGCGGAGUGGUUGACCCUUGUGAUUAUUUUUAUUUUUAUAAGUUUCACUUCUAUUGUGUGUGAUUUGCACAAACACACA